rnacentral:rRNA from 1 species
GAUGAACGCUGGCGGCGUGCCUAAUACAUGCAAGUCGAGCGAACAGACGAGGAGCUUGCUCCUCUGACGUUAGCGGCGGACGGGUGAGUAACACGUGGAUAACCUACCUAUAAGACUGGGAUAACUUCGGGAAACCGGAGCUAAUACCGGAUAAUAUAUUGAACCGCAUGGUUCAAUAGUGAAAGACGGUUUUGCUGUCACUUAUAGAUGGAUCCGCGCCGCAUUAGCUAGUUGGUAAGGUAACGGCUUACCAAGGCAACGAUGCGUAGCCGACCUGAGAGGGUGAGCGGCCACACUGGAACUGAGACACGGUCCAGACUCCUACGGGAGGCAGCAGUAGGGAAACUUCCGCAAUGGGCGAAAGCCUGACGGAGCAACGCCGCGUGAGUGAUGAAGGUCUUCGGAUCGUAAAACUCUGUUAUUAGGGAAGAACAAAUGUGUAAGUAACUAUGCACGUCUUGACGGUACCUAGUCAGAAAGCCACGGCUAACUACGUG